rnacentral:rRNA from 1 species
CAUGUCCUUUUGAUAAUAAUUUAAGGUCUAAUCUGCUCAAUGAUAAAUUAAAUUGCCGCAGUAUUUUGACUGUGCAAAGGUAGCAUAAUAAUUAGCUUUUUAAUUAAAAGCUGGAAUGAAUGAUUGGACAAGAAGAUUACUGUCUCUAUUUAAUUGUUUAUUGAAUUUUAUUUUUAAGUUAAAAAGCUUAAAUAAUUAUAAAAGACGAGAAGACCCUAUAGAGUUUGAUAUUUCAAUUUUAUUUAUUUAUAGAAUUAAAUUUGAAUUUUGAGUAUUUAGUUGGGGUGAUUUAAAGAUUUAAUAAAUUCUUUAAUUUUUUAAUUGAUGAUAAUUAAAUUAUAAAUCUAUAGUUUUAAAUUUAAUAUAAAUUACCUUAGGGAUAACAGCGUAAUUUUUCUUUAAAGUUCUUAUUAAAAGAAGAUUUUGCGACCUCGAUGUUGGAUUAAAAUUAAUUUUUGGUGCAGUAACUGAAUAAUUGGGUCUGUUCGACCUUUAAAAUUUUACAUGAUCUGAGUUUAAACCGGUGUAAGCCAGGUUGGAUUCUAUCUUUAGAAAAAUUUUAUAUUUUAGUACGAAAGGACCAGGUAUAGAUUAUAUUA